rfam:Dufourea novaeangliae contig1416, whole genome shotgun sequence.
AUCGCUUCUCGGCCUUAUGGCUAAGAUCAAAGUGUAGUAUCUGUUCUUAUCAGCUUAAUAUCUGAUACACUCUCCAUUGGAGAGUCAGAAUAUUAAUCUGAUUUUUGGAAAUCGACGGAGCGUUUGGGGCUUGCUCCACCUCUGUCACGAGUCGGCCCGGCAUUGCAGUGCCGCUGGGAUCGGCUCAAUUAUC